rnacentral:misc_RNA from 1 species
UGUGGGAGCGGGCUUGCUCGCGAUGCAGACGGCGCGGUCUACCUGCAGACCCCGGCGAUACUAUCGCGAGCAAGCCCGCUCCCACA